rnacentral:lncRNA from 1 species
CCUGCACAAUAGUGGCUGGGAGAGGUGUUAAAACAUGAGGAAUAUUUGAUAUAUCAACCCAUUGAUCCUUGAGAACAACGCAGCAGUUUCUAAAUCCUAUAAGACACCAUUCACACCAACCCGAAAAAGACAAUUAGAAGGGUUAAAUAAAGGAGGAUAUAUACACUCGUUAAAUAGGAUUCAUCAACUCUUACACAUUAGGUUGCAUGUUAUUGGAACUCACUAGACUCUUAGAAUCGCACUGAACAUUGUUUUUUUUUUGGUCUGCAAAAAUAUUUUUAUAUAACCAAAAAGGGUAUAAGAGAUACCCAUUUAAAUAUUGCAUGACAAAUGUUCCUUAAAACCAGUGACCCCUCUAAUGGUUAUACCAUAUUUGGCAAACUACAAGAUGCGAAUAUUAAAUAAUCAUUGUGAAUCUUCGAUGAACGUGUUCUUCUUUAAGAACAAUGUCUAACUUAUAUAUAUAUAUAUAUAUAUAUAUAUAUAUAUAUAUAUAUAUAUAUAUAUAUAACUUGAAAUCUAUAUACAUUGGUAAUGUUUUUCUAAACUACCAAGAGAGAGUACGUAAUUGAGAAAGAGUACGCAAGAGUGGAUAACAAAGGGGAGGAUAGUUAAAGCGGAGGGAUUAUGAUAGGAUGGGUCUUUCCAGACUCAAAUAUCAUGUUUUUAAGAAUAGAUAAUUUUGAGAUUAUUCUUUUAAUAUUUACUUUUAUUUUAUAUUUUGUAAAAUAUUAGAUUAUGUUAUUUGUAUGGUUGAUAUUCUUGAUAAUUUCCUAUGUAAUAAGAUAUGUACCAUGCAAAAAAUUAUCAAAAUGAAGAAAACAUAAUUUUAUCUUGUUUAUAUUUCUAUAACUUUUCUCUAGUAUUUUAUGGUGU